rnacentral:lncRNA from 10 species
GCGCGGUGGCUCACGCCUGUAAUCCCAGCACUUUGGGAGGCCGACGCGGGUGGUUCACUAGGUCAGGAGAUCGAGACCAUCCUGGUUAAUACGGCGAAACCCCGUCUCUACUAAAAGUACAAAAAAAUUAGCCGGGCGUGGUGACAGGCGCCCGUAAUCCCAGCUACUAUGGAGGCUGAGGCAGCAGAAUGGCCUGAACCCGGGAGGCGGAGCUUGCAGUGUGCAGAGAUCGCGUCACUGCACUUCCAGCCUGG